rnacentral:rRNA from 1 species
GACGAACGCUGGCGGCGUGCUUAACACAUGCAAGUCGAACGGAAAGGCCCUGCUCUUGUGGGGUGCUCGAGUGGCGAACGGGUGAGUAACACGUGAGUAACCUGCCCUUGACUUUGGGAUAACUUCAGGAAACUGGGGCUAAUACCGGAUAGGAGCUCCUGCUGCAUGGUGGGGGUUGGAAAGUUUCGGCGGUUGGGGAUGGACUCGCGGCUUAUCAGCUUGUUGGUGGGGUAGUGGCUUACCAAGGCUUUGACGGGUAGCCGGCCUGAGAGGGUGACCGGCCACAUUGGGACUGAGAUACGGACCAGACUCCUACGGGAGGCAGCAGUGGGGAAUAUUGCGCAAUGGGCGGAAGCCUGAUGCAGCAACGCCGCGUGCGGGAUGACGGCCUUCGGGUUGUAAACCGCUUUCGACUGUGACGAAGCGUGAGUGACGGUAAUGGGUAAAGAAGCAACGGCUAACUACGUG